rnacentral:lncRNA from 1 species
ACUCCUCCUGCAAAGAUGAGGGGGCAUUUUUAAAAGUUCACUUCCUCAUUUUAUAUUCAUUUAUUCAAGACAGUUACGGAGUGAUGCCGCUUGGGCCAAGGCACAGUUCCCGAUCUUGGGGUGCAUCAGUGACCGGAACAGUCAGAACCCCAGCCACGUGUGGCCUGUACCGUGCAAGAAGCAGCAGCAGCAGCGACAACAACAGCAAUCAAACAGCGGCAUAAGAAAUGAGAAGGCCACAGCGCCGUGCUGGGCAAUGCCCGAGCACAGAGCCGCCCUCAGAUGUCCGUCUUGUCCGCACUUACUCUGAGGAGGACAGUGAACACCAGCACGCAUCUGGCGAACUGAAACUUGUAUUUUUGGUGAUUGCUCGUCAUUUGCUUGGAUCAGAACAAACCGGUGGGUGCAUCUGUAUCAUGCCAAAAUGGACAACAGAAGAAAAAGACAAGCAAGGGGAUUUUCAAUCAAUUUUAAAUCAAGGGGAUUUUUAUUGCCACUGUCUAGCUGACUGAAUACCAGUAAUGAAAUCCUUGGGUUUUGUUUUUCAAAGAGGUGGAUCUUAGAAAAUGAAUCAAUUCUGGACUGAAAAAACUCAGUAUAAAAUUUCCCAUCUUUUUUCUUACUGGCUGUGGAAAUAAAAAUGUUGGGAGAAU